CGUGCUGAAGUGACAGUUAUCGUAACGUGCGGACGCCAAGUGGCCCCUUCUUAACUGAACGUAGUGUCAACAACACGAAAUAUAAAAGUACGAAACACACAGCAAGCGCGUGAGCAAAGACAAGUAUGCUGCUGCUGCUUGCUGGUGGAAGAGUCUGUGCUCACAGCCAGCGCAGUGGACAGUUGUAAAGAGAUUCGCGUAGCGAUGUGACGUGUAUUUUUUCCGUUUGUCGUGCUUGUUGCGUUCCGUAUAUGAUCCGUGAUAAAUUCAUUUUCAUUUCCAAUCAAUACAAAUCAACAAGUGCAGUUUACAUGCCAACAACAAUGUGUAAGAAAAUAUGACAACCAUGCAGUGCAUGUUUGAGCAUGUGUGUGCAUGUUGUAAAGUUGUUGAAAAGUGAAAAAUAAUAAGUGAGAAUAAAUACAACACACACGAGUGCAAACAUAGUUAUAGGUAUGUGUGAGAUGUGCAUAUACAGUCAACAUAUACAUAGCAUAUUGUUUACCAUAAUGCAAUAAAUAAACAAGUGAUAGAAAGUGGAAAACACAUGCACAGCUACAUACAUACAUAUGUAUGCAAGCAAUUAUUUGUGUACGGAAUUUGACUGCGGAAAAUAUGCACGUGUUCCGUUUUUGAGCGGCUGUUGAAACUAAAAAAUUCGUUAACAUCCUCGGAACAGUUUAUGGAUAACGGUCUAAAACAGCUCGCCAAAGUGUAUACGUUGCAGUUAGUAUAUAACAUUGUGGUCGGUUGACGGUUGUGCGCAACAAAAGCGUAAAAUAGCAGCACAAUACUAUCCGAAAAUUUCACAAGCGGGAAAAAAUAAAAUAAUACGGUAUAGCAAUUGUUGCUUACAACAAUAGUGUUAAUCAAAAAUUGCCAGAGCAAAGUUGUAGCAACAAACAGUGUGUUCUAAGCAAAAAAAAA